rnacentral:piRNA from 1 species
UGCUAUGUUCUCGUCAUGACCUUGUCCUC